rnacentral:rRNA from 1 species
UACGUAGGGUGCAAGCGUUAAUCGGAAUUACUGGGCGUAAAGCGUGCGCAGGCGGUUUUGUAAGACAGAGGUGAAAUCCCCGGGCUCAACCUGGGAACUGCCUUUGUGACUGCAAGGCUUGAGUGCGGCAGAGGGGGAUGGAAUUCCGCGUGUAGCAGUGAAGUGCGUAGAUAUGCGGAGGAACACCGAUGGCGAAGGCAAUCCCCUGGGCCUGCACUGACGCUCAUGCACGAAAGCGUGGGGAGCAAACAGG